rnacentral:rRNA from 1 species
UAGUUGGAUUUGGGUCGACCGGGCCGCCGGGCCGCCGCCCCCGUGCGGCGAGUUCCCGUGCGUCCCCGGGACCGCACGUUCACCCCCGCGGUGCUCUUGACUGAGUGUCCGCGGUAGCGGGUGACCGAACGUUUACCUUGACAAAACCGGAGUGCUCGAGGCGUGGGCGUUCGCCGCCCGUACGUCCUCGCUGGGAAUAAUGGAAGAGGACCGUUGGUCAAAAAAGGUUUUUCGUCAGAGAGGUUGGAGAGCAAAAAGGAGGUUGUGCUGGCGGGGGGUUUACAAAGGGGGGAAACUCCCUUUCCCCCUCUGGUCUUCCUCCUUCUCCUCCUCGAAACCUUCCUCCCCGCGUACCGCACUGUGGAUCGGCUGGCGCUUUUCGGCGGAAAGGGCGGUUUGAGACAGAAGGGUGGAAGCAGGUGGCCGUUUGCCGGAUGGCGAAAGCUGGACGGCCGGUCGUUUGUGGAAACCUGGAAUCUUAUUCCCCCUCACUGUCGUGGUGCUUCCGUACCCUCGGUGUCAGCGGGAGGAGGUCGAAAAUCAAAAUAAAUAUGACGUGUCAUGAUUAAGAGGGACGGCCGGGGGCAUUCGUACCGCGGCGCGAGAGGUGAAAUUCUAGGACCGUCGCGAGACGAACGAUAGCGAAAGCAUUUGCCAAGAAUGUUUUCCUUAAUCAAGAACGAAAGUCGGAGGUUCGAAGGCGAUCAGAUACCGCCCUAGUUCCGACCUUAAACCAUGCCGUCCGACCGCCCGCCAGGGUUACUACCGCGACUCGGCGGGCGGUGACUUUCCACCGGGAAACCCUUAAGCUUUCGGGUUCCGGGGGAAGUACGGUCGCAAAGCUGAAACUUAAAGGAAUUGACGGAAGGGCACCACCAGGAGUGGAGCCUGCGGCUUAAUUUGACUCAACACGGGGAACCUCACCCGGCCCGGACACCGCGAGGAUUGACAGAUCGAUAGCUCUUUCUCGAUCCGGUGGGUGGUGGUGCAUGGCCGUUCUUAGUUGGUGGAGCGAUCUGUCUGGUUAAUUCCGAUAACGAACGAGACUCUAGCCGGUUAAGUAGCCCGAGUGGCGUGUUGUUGAUUUAAAAACCGCCCUAGCGGCAUUCGGGGUGCUUCGCGGAAGCUGUCUGGCUUUAACGGCGAUGGGACGGGGUGGUGGAAGACGACGGUUUUAGCCGCGUGCGUCGCGGCUGAGAUCUAGUUUUUUUAACUUCCCUUCAAUCCUGUCUCGUUUCGGCCUUUCACUUUUGUGGGCCUCUGUUUGCUUAGCUGGGGUAGAUAAAACGCUAACGAGAGUCGGGGGCAGUGGACGUUACUCGUGGAAUGGGUGGGCGCUCCUUAGUGGUGCGUCCCUCUUCCCGGUUUCGCUUUUCUGCUUUCCUCGUCGUCUCGCGCCACCGGCUUUCGAGUGCAAAAGCUUCUUAGAGGGACGAGCGGCGUUCAGCCGCGCGAGAUUGAGCGAUAACAGGUCUGUGAUGCCCUUAGAUGUCCGGGGCCGCACGCGCGCUACACUGAAGGGGUCAACGCGCCAUUACGUUUCCCGGGCCGAAAGGCUCGGGGAACCGGUGGAACCCCGACGUAGCGUUCGUGCUAGGGACAGGGACUUGCAAUUGUGUCCCUCGAACGAGGAAUUCCCAGUAGGCGCGAGUCAUCAGCUCGCGCCGAUUACGUCCCUGCCCUUUGUACACACCGCCCGUCGCUACUACCGAUCGAACGAUUUAGCGAGGUCUUCGGACCGGCGGCCGAAGGUGCGCGAGCGCCGGCGG